GGUAAAAUGGCUGAGCUAGGCAUUAGACUGUAAAUCUAAAUACAGGGGUUGAGCCCCCUUUUUACCA
rnacentral:tRNA from 1 species